CAGUUGUUGAUACGCGCUUAUAAAGAGCAAAGAGUCAUAGACCAAGAACAGGCAACAUUGUAGUUUGUGACGUUUCCAGUCCUUGAAGCAGAUUUUCUUAAUCUCAAUCUCAUGUGCCUGUUUCCCCACUCUACUCCCAGAAACCAAGAAGCCUAUAAAACCCAAGAAAGAGAGUAGUCUAACCAGCGCCCCCUACUGGAGAAUGGGAACAUGAUGCCUACUAGAGGUGUCUGAACUAUGUCCCUCAACAGAAGACCACAAUGAAGAAAACCAACUGUUUCACUGGAAGACUAGAGGCUGGUCUUUGCAGAGUGUAGAGAUGUGUACUGAAGUUAUAAAGAAUGAAGCCAAGCAUUCAGCACUUACCACACAGUCUUUUAAGGUCAACCCUGGAGUAAGAGGGAUUUCACUCCCUAAAGUGAGGAGUGAAAUCUGAGAAACCCACCUCAAGGCAGCUUCCCGGGAUGAGAAAAGUGAAGUGAGUACUUCCACAACUCUAGGUGAUGUCGCACAGCCCCACAUGGCCUUACUGUGAGCAAGAGACACAGAAAGCAGGAGAUGCAUGGUACCAGAGCUGGAACUGCGCUGUAUUGCUUCCCUUCAUGAUGGUGAGCAAGCGAACGGAAACAAAGCUGGGUGAGAUGGGCCAUUAAGCACCGCACUCAGAACCUGAGCUGCUGUAAUGUCACAAAGGCGAGGUGCUGCGCCUUUGGUGCACACACUGCCAAGGGAGGCACUAGUGUUGCCACAGUAAUGGUAAUAAAGUGC
rnacentral:lncRNA from 1 species